rnacentral:rRNA from 1 species
UACGGAGGAGGCAAGCGUUAUCCGGAAUUAUUGGGCGUAAAGCGUCCGUAGGUGGCUCUUCAAGUCUGCUGUCAAAGAGUGGGGCUUAACCCUGCAAAGGCAGUGGAAACUGAAAGGCUAGAGAGCCGUAGGGGUAUAGGGAAUUCCCGGUGUAGCGGUGAAAUGCGUAGAGAUCGGGAAGAACAUCGGUGGCGAAAGCGCUCUACUGGACGGUAUCUGACACUGAGGGACGAAAGCUAGGGGAGCGAAUGGG